UGCCAGCAGCCGCGGUAAUACGGAGGGUGCAAGCGUUAAUCGGAAUUACUGGGCGUAAAGCGCACGUAGGCGGCUGUUUAAGUCGGAUGUGAAAUCCCCGGGCUCAACCUGGGAACUGCAUCCGAUACUGGGCAGCUAGAAUUUGGGAGAGGCGAGUGGAAUUUCCGGUGUAGCGGUGAAAUGCAUAGAGAUCGGAAGGAACACCAGUGGCGAAGGCGACUCGCUGGACCAAAAUUGACGCUGAGGUGCGAAAGCGUGGGUAGCAAACAGGAUUAGAUA
rnacentral:rRNA from 1 species